CACCUGGGCUGCCCAUCAUCGGAAACGCACUUUCGUAUUUCAAUAUUGAUACAGUUUACUUGUGGAAUUUAAUGAGGAAAAUUACGGACGAGUACUACCCUAUCGCAAAAGUAUCGAUUUUAAAUUAUGCCGUAGUCCUAUGUCGUAAUCCGGACGAUUUAGAGAUAUUCUUCACGGAUAGAGUCAACACAUCCAAAGGUGGAAUACCAUACAAAUAUCUUGAAAAAUGGGCUCACC